GACGAAGGAUGCAAGCGUUAUCCGGAUUCAUUGGGUUUAAAGGGAGCGUAGGUGGCCUUAUAAGUCAGUGGUGAAAUCUCUGGGCUUAACCCAGAAAUUGCCAUUGAUACUGUAGGGCUUGAGUAUAGUUGCCGUUGGCGGAAUAUGACAUGUAGUGGUGAAAUACAUAGAGAUGUCAUAGAACACCGAUUGCGAAGGCAGCUAACGAAACUAUAACUGACACUGAGGCUCGAAAAGUGCGGGGAUCAAAACAGGG
rnacentral:rRNA from 1 species